UCCUUCCUUCUUUCCCAGCCACCCCGUCUCAUCUUUCCAAGGCUAAAAAAAUACAGCCCAAGACCCCAUUGAAUUGAAACUGCCCGUUCCGGAAGUGCUUUGGGGGUGGGGGACUAAAAGAGUGGGGGGCAAGGACCGGCGUGGCUGAUGGACGGCUGGCCUCCUUAUCCUGGGCCUGUGUUGACAUCUCGGGCUCCUCCUGCUGAGUUUGAAACUGGCCCCUUGUGGUGCUGUCGACCCCCCUUUUUCCGUUCGCCUCUUGCUCGGAACAAAGGACCAGCCCGGCGCGUGGCAUCGAGCCCCAGCUGUAACCAGGCGAAAGCGCCCUGCUGGCCCUAGCCGCCAGCCCAAGGCAAACGGAGAUGCUCCUGGAAAACAGAGACUUCGGCUCUUUCCUUAUCAGGCUGAACGAAAGGUCGUUCGGCUACAUCCUUUCAUACCGAGGGAAGAAUCGGUGCCGUCAUUUCGUCGUCAGCUGCCAACGCAACAGGCAUUAUGUCGUAUCCGGAGACACCCGAACGCAUCAAAGUUUGGCUGAACUGAUCCGCUAUUAUCAGACGACUGAAAUACAGCCUUUUGGGGAAAACCUCACCUCGGCCUGUUCCAAGCUGGAGGAGAAAAGCAUAUAUGAUGAAAUAUCUUCUGGCCGAAGUUCCAGUGCAGCCGCUCCAACGCUGAUCGGGAACCCACCUACCGAUUCCAACCAACAGCCAGGAAAUCCGAGGAUACAGCUUCAGGAAGAGGAGAAGUCUUUUUUCAAAGAAAGUCAAAGUUCAGGCCCAAAGGAUCUGGAUGCAGUCCCACCUGUACCAGACAGGUCCCACUUGCUGAAGUCACUGUCCCUGGAAGAAGGCGUUGGUGGAAAAGGAAUCAUUUAUUCAACCGUGAAGAAGUCUUCUUUAGACAAAAGAUGCUUGGAAAAGUCAAAAGAGGGGUGCAGAGAUUUUGUGGAUGCUAAGGCAGAGAAAACUGAAGGACUGAGCCAAAGUCUCCCCUCUCUUUGCCAAAAGAAGACAGGAACAGUGUUUGCCUUGGCCAAGCAGUCAGACACGCCAUUCACCCAAAAAGUGAAUCCUGCAGAGACACCUCAGCCAGAAACAGUUUAUUCUAAGGUUGCCCUUGACCACGCCAAAAGCUGUUGGGUACUUGCUGAGCCCCACAGUUGUCAGUCUUUUCUAUCAUCCAAGAAAUCAGCUGUAAAUGUUCCUAAUUACCCACCUCCAAAAUUAACUCCUAAGUUACUGAAUAAACCCAAAAAUUUGAUGGAGUUCCAUGAACAGCAGUCUCCCCUUGGGAUAUAUACAAGUCCUGAGAGUGACAAAGAACAUGGACAACUAAACCAGCUGAAAUCCUUGUUUGAAUUACCAAAGGAACCCACAAAUGAGAAGAUCCUUAAGGUGAAAAACCAUCAACCUACCUUAUGGACAGACAAUACAACUAAUACUCAUGAAUCUUUCAGGUGGGCAAAGAGUAUCUUCCUUGGUUCAGAAAAGGUUCCUAAGGCUUCACUGACCAAGUCCAAAGGGUCUCGUGAUCAUAUCUCAACAAAGUUUGGGCAAUCCUCCAAGAUUCAGAUCAACCCUGAGAACCCAUAUGAAAAAAUACCUGAUCCUUACUCCAAAGGUUCCUCAACCACAGGUCAAGCUUCUACUCUGGAGGACCCCUAUGAACGAAUUCCCUACAUGCCAGGGAAAAGAAUAGAAGCAAAGCUAACCCCAAAGAGUGACAAACCCAGAAGGUUCUUCUUUGCCGAAAAGAAGGCCAGGCCCUGAGCGCCGCGUUUUGAACGUGGCUCCCGAAUGAAAUCCUCUUCCAAAGGCCCCCACACGAGCACCAGAGGCAGAGCUGCGCUGGGAAAGGAUCUGCCUGGGGGUUACAAGCCCCCUUUUCCGAAGCGAUCGUUUUUUCUCCGUUUCAAACACUGCUCAGUUUUCAGAAAGGUUCUGCGUGAGCAAUAUUCGGGUGUCCCCCUCCGGUCUGUAACGGGUGGGGAAAGAGCUGAGCUCCACUCUUUCCGGGCCAAGAUCUGGCCUUCACUUUGGAACCAUCGCUGGAUGAGAACUUGCUCUCCAAAAAGCAAGCCGAGCACGGAGAAGCAUGAAAUCUGUUGGCAUCUAACUGACAUUUAAACUGAACUGGAAGGACUGAAAGCUGUGACAGCCCCUUGGGUGGGGUCAUUUCUCCUGUCUGUCAUGUGCCAAGCUACAACUGGGGGGCCACUUGGAGGAGAGAGUUUGGAGGCCGGGCCUCCAUAGAUUAGCUAGAGAGGCAAGGGCUGUGAAGAUGAGGGUGGGCUGCAUGAAUCCCCAGUGGCUGGAUUCAGAGACCUAUAGACCCCCCAUUUGGGGAGUAGCCUCCUAUCUUGUUCUGUGGAAAGAUGGUCAGACGUGGGAUGCACCAAUUCCUUGUGCAAAUUCUAGGGUUGCGCAACAAGUUGACUUGACACAAAGGCCUCAAGGUAGGAGUCAAAAAAGUCAUGAUUUUUUGCUCAAAGCCCCACCCCCUUCCAAGAUGCAUUGCAUGUAAAUUGCAUGUCAAAAAGGGGCGGAGCUUCGAUCAGACAGUCACGGCUGCCAUGCUGACUUUUUUGACCCCCCCCCGACUUGAAGGUCGUGCCAAGGCCCUUGGCCCAGUUGAACUAAAUCCUUUCAUCUGACUGCCUGAUUAAUUUGGUGCAUCGAGCUGGAUGGCUUCGGAUCAACCCGGUCCAUGGUCUCAACUGACUCGUUGAACUGAAUUGAUCAAUCUUUGGGGUUCUUGCACGAUUCACACACCCUGGUAAACUGGAACACUGGCGUGUGAUAAGGUGGGAGGGGAGAACCUUUAGAGCAACAUUUCCAGGAACUGUUCUGCUUCCUAGAAACCGUAAAGCAAAAUCGUGACUAUCAUACUUAGUAGAAGAAGGUUUUCCCACUCCUCCUACCCCUUGUAAUGAUUUUUUGAAACAGUACAACAGAAAUCCUCUCUCAGCAGUCCUGGGGGUGAUUCGAGGUCUUCUGAGAAGCCAAAAUAAAUCUUUGGGUAGCAACGGCAGGUUUGUCCUUGACUCUACUCUGCACUGUCCGGUUUACCCCGACACCCUUUGCUAUGACAUUAAAUGGAGAUUAAUUAGAAGGGAAGGGAAAGAAAAAAAGGAAGAACCACUUGCUUUUUUUCUUCAUCCUUAAUGACCUGAUUCAUUUCCAUCACUGCAGGGUGAACAAAGGGUUAUCCAGAAGUCUCAUUUUUUUCCCCCUUCAUUACGAAAAUAUACUUCCAUGUCCGGCUUCAGGGCCACGGUUCCACGCGGAGUUAAUAAUGUGGCCUCUGCUAAUAUUUACUUCCAAGUAAACGGGUGCAAGCCAUUGGGAUGAAUAAGCCAUUUUUCUUUUCUUUUUUAAAGUUCCCAAGAAAAACCAACCAAAAAUACUGUUACAACAGGGCAAGCCUGUCUCACAGGAGCUAACUAGCCAGACCAUAUCACUCCUCUUUGUCCUGCCCAGCAACUGGGACUUACAGGUAGAGUGCCCCUGAAGAGAGAGGUUCUAUUCUUGUCUGUCACUGGGAUGUUACCGAGUCCUUUGGAAGAACGCUAGCGUUGCCCGAUGAAGGUUUUCGCCUAAUACAGCCUCCUGUUUUCCCCAAGCAGAACAGGAAAAUUCCCUCAGCUGUGGUAGAGUGCCUCUGAUCACGGAGGCUCUACAUAGCCCCACGCAUCUGGUUGAGCUGAACACCGCACCCGUUGG